rnacentral:rRNA from 1 species
UGAGUUUGAUCCUGGCUCAGAACGAACGCUGGCGGCAGGCCUAACACAUGCAAGUCGAGCGCGCCUUCGGGUGAGCGGCGGACGGGUUAGUAACGCGUGGGAACGUGCCCUUUUCUACGGAAUAGCCUCUGGAAACGGAGAGUAAUACCGUAUACGCCCUUUGGGGGAAAGAUUUAUCGGAGAAGGAUCGGCCCGCGUUAGAUUAGGUAGUUGGUGGGGUAACGGCCUACCAAGCCUACGAUCUAUAGCUGGUUUUAGAGGAUGAUCAGCAACACUGGGACUGAGACACGGCCCAGACUCCUACGGGAGGCAGCAGUGGGGAAUCUUAGACAAUGGGGGCAACCCUGAUCUAGCCAUGCCGCGUGAGUGAUGAAGGCCUUAGGGUCGUAAAGCUCUUUCGCCUGUGAUGAUAAUGACAGUAGCAGGUAAAGAAACCCCGGCUAACUCCGUGCCAGCAGCCGCGGUAAUACGGAGGGGGUUAGCGUUGUUCGGAAUUACUGGGCGUAAAGCGCGCGUAGGCGGAUUAGAAAGUUGGGGGUGAAAUCCCGGGGCUCAACCUCGGAACUGCCUCCAAAACUGCUAGUCUAGAGUUCGAGAGAGGUGAGUGGAAUUCCGAGUGUAGAGGUGAAAUUCGUAGAUAUUCGGAGGAACACCAGUGGCGAAGGCGGCUCACUGGCUCGAUACUGACGCUGAGGUGCGAAAGUGUGGGGAGCAAACAGGAUUAGAUACCCUGGUAGUCCACACCGUAAACGAUGAAUGCCAGUCGUCGGGUAGUAUACUAUUCGGUGACACACCUAACGGAUUAAGCAUUCCGCCUGGGGAGUACGGUCGCAAGAUUAAAACUCAAAGGAAUUGACGG